rnacentral:lncRNA from 1 species
CGGGCCCCGCCCUGCACUAGGCGGAAGCCCCCAAAGUAUCAGCGCCGCUUCGUGGAGCCUGGCGACUGCUUUGGGAAGUCCUGCUGGCAGGCACUCUGCCCCUGGGGGUGUGCAAAGAGUUGUCCAGUUACCUUGAUCUUCUCACAGCCUCCUCCCCAGGGCACCAGGAGAGACCAGGAUUGGAGGACGGUAAAGAACACACUUCCCAGAGGAUUCUUGGAGGUGGCUUCCUCCAGGCAGUAAAUCUACAGCCCAGGCUCCCUGCAUCUUAUGGCUCCAAUCACUUUGGAUCUCAUCGUCGCCUGCACAUUGCCAUACACAGGGAAGGAGAAGAGAUGGAGAAGGCAAAGACUUUCUGAAAGCCGUGGCUAAAAGCUGGCAUGUGUCACAUCAGCUCACAUUCCAUUGUAGAGACGGGGUUUCACCGUGUUAGCCAGGAUGGUCUUGAUAUCCUGACCUCGUGAUCCGCCCGCCUUGGCUUCCCAAAGUGCUGGGAUUACAGGCGUGAGCCACCGCUCCCGGCCUGGCAGGCAUUCUUGAGGCAAACGGGAAAUGGGGUAAGUUACACAAUCGAUACAGCUCCGUCAUCGUGGUUUAAUUACUUUUCCACGUACCAUGUUUCCUGACAGGUAGAACGAUCAGCCUGGGCCUCCGUUUUUCAUUCUACAAAGAAUGAAGUGCAUGAACUGUCCUCUAUAGAAUUGUGGAAAAAGUUGUUUUUAUUGAGUUGUGGUUAUCUUUGUCUUCAUGGUCUAAUUACGGAAAUAAAUGCUUUUCCGAGUCUCCGGGGAUGGUCUGCCCUAGUCCAGCUCUCUGCAGUGUCUUUCUGGGUUUUUCCUCAGUGAACGGGAGGAACAUUGGCAGCACUUGUGGUCUGCACCAAGAACUGAAUCGAAUUUCCAUGUGUUAUUGAAUGUUCACAAAGACCUUGUACAGCGAGUGUUACUACCUCUGGUCAAUGAUUCAACUCAAGGCUCAGAAAAGUCAAGUGUCUUGUCCAGGGACACUUAGUCAGAAGUGAAUCCAAGGUUUAAGCUCAAGUCUGCCUAACUCUGAAUUUCACAGCCUUUUGCUACAUAUGGCGAAUAAUAUAUCCCUGAGCACUAAAGGCAGACUCCAAGGAUCUUGUCUCUGCAAUCAUCAUUCUGGCCAUAAUUUAUGAAAAGCAACCCAAAGUAUGUGAUGUAAUAAAAAGUACUAUCUAUGAGUUUACCCUUCCAAAAAUUGAACUGAAUUCUGAGCUCUAAAUUUGGAAUCAAAAGAACUUUUCUCUGCACUAAUCAUUUGGAACAUCACUUAAAGAAAACAACGAAAAACUGGUGUCCCCUGAGAGAAAGCAAUACAAAACAUUAUGCAUAAAGAAAUCCUUCCAAAAAAUAAACCAAAUCCAGUCAAAUCUCUAGUUUUGACUCCUAGCUUACCGGAAAUACGUGAUGGGAAAAAAAUGAAAUGACACCACUAUGAUUCAAUCAGCCAAAUCCAGCAUAUGCAAAUUUCUACCAGAUAAAUGGUUUAGUUUCUUCCCCAAACAAAUGGCACAAGGAAACGGAGGUAAGAAUGGGAUGCUGUUAUAGAUUUUAAAAGAUUUAAGAAAGUAUAAACUAAAUACACUAUGUGCAUCCUCUCUGAACGUGCUUCAAACAUAUCAAGGGGUCAAUGAGCAGUUUUGAAACAAUAAGGGAAUUUGAACACUGAAUGGUUGUCAGAAGAUAGUAAGAGAUCAUUAUUAAUUUUACUAGACAUAAUGAUGUUCUGAUUUUGUUUUUUUUUUAAAAAAAAAACAGUGUUAUUUCCUUUAUAGAUACAUCAUAUAGUAUUAACUAAUGAAAUGCUUUGAUAUCUGGAACGUUUAAAAAAUAUUCCCGAUGGAGUAAGUGCAAAGAAACAGGUAAGCAAAAUGCUGAUAAUUGCUGAAACACAGGAUGUGUACCUGGGGCUUCAUUUACUAUCUCUUCAUUUUCUAUUUUGAUAUUUGUUGGACAUUCUCAUAAAAAGGAAAGUUAUGUUUUAUUUUCUCAUAAGCUAGUAAUGAAAUAGCCCUACGUAACUGAUAUUGUAGAGACAAGAAUAGGUGUAAUAGAGCUUAAGGUUUUCAUUUAAAAAACUAUCUGUAGACUUCAAUGGAUCUUAGGUGGCAUCCAUGCAAUAACACUCGUGGAACAUGCAGGACAGGUGUGGAGCUCCAUCUUCACACAGUGACAUUUUUUAUGCUUCUGUUUUCCCUAAGAGUGGAGUGAGAGGAUGAUUAUUUUAUAUCAUGGACUUCUUCCCUGCUAUACUUUUUUUAAUUAUUUUACUUUCACUUCUGGGAUACAUGUGCUGAGCAUGCAGGCUUGUUUACAUAGGUAUACAUCUGCCAUGGUGGUUUGCUGCACCUAUCAACCCAUCAUACAGGUUUUAAGCCCUGCAUGCAUUAGGUAUUCGCCCUAAUGCUCUCCCUCGCCUUUCCCCCCACCCCCUGAUAGCCCCCAGUGAGUCAUAUUCCCCUCCCUGUGUCCAUGUGUUCUCAUUGUUCAACUCCCAUUUAUGAGUGAGAAUAUGUGGUGUUUAGUUUUCUGUUCCUGUGUUAGUUUGCUGAGAAUGAUGUUUUCCAGCUUCAUCCAUGUCCCUGAAAAGGACAUGAGCUCAUUCUUUUUUAUGGCUGCAUAGUAUUCCACGGUGUUAUAUGUGCCACAUUUUCUUAAUCCAGUCUGUCAUUGAUGGACAUUUGGGUUGUUUCCAAGUCUUUGCUAUUGUAAAUAGUGCUGCAAUAAACAUAUGUGUGCAUGUGUCUUUGUAGUAGAAUGAUUUAUAAUCCUUUGGGUAUAUGCCCAGUAAUGGGACUGAUGGGUCAAAUGGUAUUUCUGGUUCUAGAUCCUUGAGGAAUUGCCACACUGUCUUCCACAAUGGUUGAACUAAUUUAUACUCCCACCAACAGGGUAAAAGCAUUCCUAUUUCUCCACAUCCUCUCCAGCAUCUGUUGUUUCCAAAUGUUUUAAUGAUUGCCAUUCCACCUGGCGUGAGAUGGUAUCUCAUUGUGGUUUUGAUUUUCAUUUCUCUAAUGACCAGUGAUGAUAAGCUUUUUUUCAUAUGUUUGUUGGCCACAUAAAUGUCUUCUUUUGACUUUUAUGUGGAAACAAAUUUAACUGCACAGAGAGGUGAAAAUUAAUUAAUAACUUUUAAAGUAAUUCCCUAAGUUUCUAAGGAUCUAUAUGUUUCCAUCUGACUUUAUUUUAUUUAAGCUCUUGAUUGAUGCUGCAUUUGGAGCAGGUUCAUGAACAUGAAUAGAGUUAAUCUGGGACAGAUUUCCCUCAUUUGAUUUUUUCACUGUUUCCAUCACAGAACUUAUUUCAUGCUCACCAUGUUUGCAGGCAUUGAGCUUGGUACUGGAGCCACAGAGCUGGAUCAGACAGACUUGUGCAAAUAUUUCAGGUUUUUUUUGUGGGGGGGUCAUAUUUAUAGAUAAAUAACAGUAAAGAGUGACGGGUUCUUAUGAAAAUGCAUACACAGUGAAGUAGAGGGUGAAAAGGAGGGAUGUGUUCUAUGAGGAGGAAGAGUGAUAAGAAAGUGUAAGGGGAUGUGUCUGUGUCUAGACAUAUGUGUGUUCACGUGUGUGCGUGCUUGUGUGUACUGCAUGUGUAUAUGUGUGGCCAUGCACCUGUGUGCAUGUUCAUGUGUGUGUGUGUAUGUGUCUGUGUUGAGGACUAAAUUAAUUGGGCUUAUGGAAGCAGGGAGCCACUGAUAGGUUUAAUUAGAGACUGACAUGAUAUGAUAGUUUAGGUGGAUUUCUCUGGGGGCUGUGUUGAGGGACAGUGGGGAGGAGAGCUAGAAGGAAGAAAAGGACACAUGCAUAACAGAAGCAAUAUCUGUCUAUGGGAUGGUGGAAAGAAUCAGAAAAGACUUAAUAAAACAUGUGACACUUUAACUGAAUCUUGAAAUAGACAAGUGUUGGAGGAGGGAGUUGGACCAGAUACUUCAUGCAAAGGGAAGAAAAGUGCACAAACAAAAUAUGAGAAACAAGGCAGACAGGCAUUUUUUUAAAAUUUUCGCACCCACUGAUAGACCAGUGAUGCAUUCACAUCGUCUGCAUUCAUGAUCAACAAAAGUGCUUUCCUAGAACAUGAACCUCAACCCAAGUGUCGCCUCAAGUAGUGUAUGCAUGAACUCAAGCAUUAAAUUAGAAUUGAUUUUUUAAAAAACUCACACAAACAGAUGUAUUAUUUAAAAAUCUUUAAAGCAGGUUUAAACAGUUUUCAGGAUUAAAAGCAGCCACUAUUAGAAAGAACAAAAAUACAUUUGACAUAAAUAUAAGGAGCCUCAAUAGAACCUCCUGUACCCAGUCAUUGUCAAUGCCACAUCCAUUCAUUCACCAGCCCUUAUAUCAAUGCUUGCUGGGCUCACUUACCACGAUCAGCACGUGCAUGUCCUUAUCUGAAAGCUUGCCACUCAAAUGUGCUCAGUCUUACCUGUGUGGCUGGGAGUGUUGGGGAUUUAAUGUCAAGGGAAAGAAUCUUCCAUCAAUGAAUGAUGAAAGUUAGUUUUCACAACUUCCGGUCCCCUUGGCCCUCAUCAAAGGGCUCCAGGUGAGGUUUGGGCUCCUUGCUAUCCUCCGAGUUUCCACGGUAGUUUUAAGCACCAUUGCCCGUGGUAAUGGCUGACAUUGAUACUGCACUUUUUUUUUAUUUAAGAUGGAGUUCCCCUCUGCCACCCAGACUGGAGUACAGUGGCGCGAUCCUGGCCAUCGCAACCUCCGCCUCCCAGAUCCCUCCUACAACACAUGAGAAUUGUGGGUGCUACAAUUCAAGAUGAGAUUUGAGUGGGGACAAAGUCAAACCAUAUCAUUAGAUAGGACACUGGAGAAAGGCAAGAAAGAAAAGACAUCUGAAGAAUGAAGGGAGCCAAAGAAAUGCCAACAUUUUGCUUUUUGAAGAAAAGCUAAAUUAAAGUCAAAAUGGAUUUAUCAAUUUCCUUGGGUUCGUGAAUGUACAGAACUUUAUUAAGACUGUCAUGCUGUCAUCAUGGCUGGAUCUGAUACGGCCACCGUGGACCUUGAGGUGACCUCGGGAAUGGAGACAGUGCAUGGGAGAGAAUCACAUUGGAAGGGGCCUGGGUUUCUGAAGACCCUGUAAGACAGAUCUCCUUGCAGCCCUGACUGCCCACAUUAGGGCUUUUAUGUUAGGGUGAAGUUACCUUGCAUUGUCAUAUAAGCAAUUGCUAUUUGUGGUGUCUUGCAAAUAAACCUAUUCUGAUCUAGUAUGUUUCCUAAAAAACAAAAGUUUGAACCCAGCUCUUUACGUGUUACAUGUUCUGAAUACAAAAAUAAGACCCAGUUUCUGCCCCCUAGCAGGACCCAAAACCCCUCAGUGAAGGCAUACACCAUAGGAAUAAUCUCACAAGUACUUU